rnacentral:rRNA from 1 species
UUGGAGGGCAAGUCUGGUGCCAGCAGCCGCGGUAAUUCCAGCUCCAAUAGCGUAUAUUAAAGUUGUUGCAGUUAAAAAGCUCGUAGUUGAAUUUCGGGAUCAAUUUGCUGGUCGUGCCUUCGGUACGUACUGGUAUUAUUGGUUUCUCCUUUCUGAUGAAUCGCGAUGUCAUUAAUUUGGUGUCGUGGGGAAUCAGGACUGUUACUUUGAAAAAAUUAGAGUGUUUAAAGCAGGCUCACGCUUGAAUACAUUAGCAUGGAAUAAUGAAAUAGGACGUUUGAUUCUAUUUUGUUGGUUUCUAGGAUCGACGUAAUGAUUAAUAGGGAUAGUUGGGGGCAUUAGUAUUCAAUUGUCAGAGGUGAAAUUCUUGGAUUUAUUGAAGACUAACUACUGCGAAAGCAUUUGCCAAGGAUGUUUUCAUUAAUCAAGAACGAAAGUUAGGGGAUCGAAGACGAUCAGAUACCGUCGUAGUCUUAACCAUAAACUAUGCCGACUAGGGAUCGGAUGAUGUUAAUUUUUUAAUGACUCAUUCGGCGCCUUACGGGAAAC